UACGGAGGGUGCAAACGUUGCUCGGAAUCAUUGGGCGUAAGGCGCACGUAGGCGGUUCGCUAUGUCGGAUGUGAAAGCCCUCGGCUUAACCGAGGAAGGGCAUCCGAAACUGGCGGGCUUGAGUACGGAAGAGGGUCUCGGAAUUCCCGGUGUAGAGGUGAAAUUCGUAGAUAUCGGGAGGAACACCAGUGGCGGAGGCGGAGACCUGGGCCGAUACUGACGCUGAGGUGCGAAAGCGUGGGGAGCAAACAGG
rnacentral:rRNA from 1 species